rnacentral:rRNA from 1 species
CGAUUCGAGUGGCGGACGGGUGAGUAACGCGUGGGUAACCUGCCUUACACAGGGGGAUAACACCUGGAAACAGGUGCUAAUACCGCAUAAGCGCACAGGGCCGCAUGGCCCGGUGUGAAAAACUCCGGUGGUGUAAGAUGGACCCGCGUCUGAUUAGCUUGUUGGCGGGGUAGGGGCCCACCAAGGCGACGAUCAGUAGCCGGCCUGAGAGGGUGGACCGGCCACAUUGGGACUGAGACACGGCCCAAACUCCUACGGGAGGCAGCAG